rnacentral:rRNA from 1 species
UGGGGAAUAUUGGACAAUGGGCGAAAGCCUGAUCCAGCCAUGCCGCGUGUGUGAAGAAGGCCUUUUGGUUGUAAAGCACUUUAAGCGAGGAGGAGGCUACUUGGAUUAAUACUCUAGGAUAGUGGACGUUACUCGCAGAAUAAGCACCGGCUAACUCUGUGCCAGCAGCCGCGGUAAUACAGAGGGUGCGAGCGUUAAUAGGAUUUACUGGGCGUAAAGCGUGCGUAGGCGGCUUCUUAAGUCGGAUGUGAAAUCCCUGAGCUGAACAUAGGAAUUGCAUUCGAUACUGGGAAGCUAGAGUAUGGGAGAGGAUGGUAGAAUUCCAGGUGUAGCGGUGAAAUGCGUAGAGAUCUGGAGGAAUACCGAUGGCGAAGGCAGCCAUCUGGCCUAAUACUGACGCUGAGGUACGAAAGCAUGGGGAGCAAACAGG